rnacentral:rRNA from 1 species
AGUUUGAUCCUGGCUCAGGAUGAACGCUAGCUACAGGCUUAACACAUGCAAGUCGAGGGGAAACGAUAGAGAAAGCUUGCUUUUUCUAGGCGUCGACCGGCGCACGGGUGAGUAACGCGUAUCCAACCUGCCCAUCACUUGGGGAUAACCUUGCGAAAGUAAGACUAAUACCCAAUGACGUCCAUAGAAGACAUCUGAAAUGGAUUAAAGAUUUAUCGGUGAUGGAUGGGGAUGCGUCUGAUUAGCUUGUUGGCGGGGUAACGGCCCACCAAGGCGACGAUCAGUAGGGGUUCUGAGAGGAAGGUCCCCCACAUUGGAACUGAGACACGGUCCAAACUCCUACGGGAGGCAGCAGUGAGGAAUAUUGGUCAAUGGACGAGAGUCUGAACCAGCCAAGUAGCGUGCAGGAUGACGGCCCUAUGGGUUGUAAACUGCUUUUAUAAGGGAAUAAAGUGAGUCUCGUGAGGCUUUUUGCAUGUACCUUAUGAAUAAGGACCGGCUAAUUCCGUGCCAGCAGCCGCGGUAAUACGGAAGGUCCGGGCGUUAUCCGGAUUUAUUGGGUUUAAAGGGAGCGUAGGCCGGAGAUUAAGCGUGUUGUGAAAUGUAGAUGCUCAACGUCUGCACUGCAGCGCGAACUGGUUUCCUUGAGUACGCACAAAGUGGGCGGAAUUCGUGGUGUAGCGGUGAAAUGCUUAGAUAUCACGAAGAACUCCGAUUGCGAAGGCAGCUCACUGGAGCGCAACUGACGCUGAAGCUCGAAAGUGCGGGUAUCGAACAGGAUUAGAUACCCUGGUAGUCCGCACGGUAAACGAUGGAUGCCCGCUGUUGGUCUGAAUAGGUCAGCGGCCAAGCGAAAGCAUUAAGCAUCCCACCUGGGGAGUACGCCGGCAACGGUGAAACUCAAAGGAAUUGACGG